AAUGCGUAGAUAUAUGGAAGAACACCAGUGGCGAAGGCGGCUGUCUGGUCUGUAACUGACGCUGAGGCUCGAAAGUAUGGGUAGCAAACAGGAUUAGAUACCCUGGUAGUCCAUACCGUAAACGAUGAAUGCUAAGUGUUGGAGGGUUUCCGCCCUUCAGUGCUGCAGCUAACGCAUUAAGCAUUCCGCCUGGGGAGUACGGCCGCAAGGCUGAAACUCAAAGGAAUUGACGGGGGCCCGCACAAGCGGUGGAGCAUGUGGUUUAAUUCGAAGCUACGCGAAGAACCUUACCAGGUCUUGACAUACUAUGCAAAUCUAAGAGAUUAGACGUUCCCUUCGGGGACAUGGAUACAGGUGGUGCAUGGUUGUCGUCAGCUCGUGUCGUGAGAUGUUGGGUUAAGUCCCGCAACGAGCGCAACCCUUAUUAUCAGUUGCCAGCAUUAAGUUGGGCACUCUGGUGAGACUGCCGGUGACAAACCGGAGGAAGGUGGGGAUGACGUCAAAUCAUCAUGCCCCUUAUGACCUGGGCUACACACGUGCUACAAUGGAUGGUACAACGAGUUGCGAACUCGCGAGAGUAAGCUAAUCUCUUAAAGCCAUUCUCAGUUCGGAUUGUAGGCUGCAACUCGCCUACCAU
rnacentral:rRNA from 2 species